GGCUGGGUGGACAACAGGUUGGCCAUGAGCCAGCAGUGUGCCCUCAUGGCCAAAAAGGCCAAUGGCAUUCUGCGGAGCAUUAAAAAGAGCGUGGCCAGCAGGUCUAGGGAGGUGGUCCUUCCCCCUACUCUGCCCUGAAGGACUUUAUAGUUCAUAGAAAGAUUAUCCCAGCAGUGCUUGACAAUGUUAAUCAAAAGAAAAUACUGCAGUAAAAACAGCUGUGAUUCAACAGACCUUGAUAUUUCAACAUUUAUCAACAUCUGCCAAACCUACAGGCUCACCUAAAGGACUCAGGGAGCUUGGGACUAUCUACUGGAUUCCUUCUGUUGUCUCAGCACAGCUCUGAAGACUCCAGUCCCAGACCAAGUCCUUCCCUUUUCCUCAGAGCUUGAAUUUCUAGUCACUCCACUGAAAGAUGAAUGAACUUUUGCAUGGGGCGAUUCCUCCGGUGUAACUCCACAGUGGCAAGCAAUCAAAUAUGAGACACAGAUAUAGCUUUGCAGCUGUCCAUUUUUCCUUCAAUGAUUCCAGAAUACUGAGAACCUAGAUGUGUAAUGGAUUCACUCCAUGUUGGCCAUAAGAUGUAAUGCUGUAGUUUCCAUCAAUAACCUAAAAGACAUUAUUAAAAGGAACGUGGAUUACUUCCUUAAUUAUACUGUUGUCAACUACUUGAUGAGGCCUCUAUGUCCUGAUUUAAUCAGCAUUUAAUUAGCACCGGUGCAAAGAGGUAAAAUAUUUU